rnacentral:misc_RNA from 1 species
UAUAAUGUUUGCGUCUGCUUUCGUCAACUUAGAAGCUUUUGAUCCAAAGAAGUAUGUUUGAGGUAUAGCGCUGCCGAGUUGGAAGAGAGCGAGCCGGCGAGUCGGAUCGGAGGAGGCGCCGAGCUGAAAUCUAGCAGCGGCGGCGGGAGAUCGAGGGAUACAGCGGAGAGGAGAGAGAUUCACGGCGGCGGUGACCGUGGAGGCGGCGGUGACCGUGGCGGCGGCGUUGGCGGCGGCGGCGGAUGUUGAAAAUAUCGCGG